rnacentral:rRNA from 1 species
GACGAACGCUGGCGGCGUGCCUAAUACAUGCAAGUCGAACGCUGAAGGAGGAGCUUGCUUCUCUGGAUGAGUUGCGAACGGGUGAGUAACGCGUAGGUAACCUGCCUGGUAGCGGGGGAUAACUAUUGGAAACGAUAGCUAAUACCGCAUAAUAGUAGAUGUUGCAUGACAUUUGCUUAAAAGAUGCAAUUGCAUCACUACCAGAUGGACCUGCGUUGUAAUAGCUAGUUGGUGGGGUAACGGCUCAACAAGGCCACGAUACAUAGCCGACCUGAGAGGGGGAUCGGCCACACUGGGACUGAGACACGGCCCAGACUCCUACGGGAGGCAGCAGUAGGGAAUCUUCGGCAAUGGACGGAAGUCUGACCGAGCAACGCCGCGUGAGUGAAGAAGGUUUUCGGAUCGUAAAGCUCUGUUGUAAGAGAAGAACGAGUGUGAGAGUGGAAAGUUCACACUGUGACGGUAUCUUACCAGAAAGGGACGGCUAACUACGUG